AAUCCUUGCUACCUGGGUGAGAG
rnacentral:miRNA from 15 species